GGCGGUUCCGGUGAGGGGCGGGGGGCGCUCCGGCCGCCCUUCUCUGCCGCGCCCCCGGGCCGGCGGGGCUGCGGUGGGGGGCGGCGGCGGCGGCGGCAAGGGUUUCCUCCCGGCGCUGACUGCGGAACCGGGCGGCUCACCCGCCGGAGCGGUCGAGGCGGGGGUGCGUGAGGGGAGGCGGCCGGACGGCCCGUGCCGUCUGUGGUGGGGCAGGUGCCGUGUAACGAAUAAUCCCGGCACAGGCGGAGUGGGGGGCCCCGGGGGGACCGGGGUCACUGCCUGCGUACUGCCCGCGUCCUGGAAUACAGCUUUGGGGCGGGCAUUGCCCUUACGGAAAGAAACUUGGGUCGCAUUUGGCGUUUCUUGUGCCCGGCGGUCGGGCUGCAGCCGUCGUGGAAACUACGCUGCCUUUUGUAAAAAUAUCGUUCGGGGCCGGCUGAUAGCACAGGCGGAAACGGUAGCAGUAGUUGUUAGGAAAUGUGAAAGCGCUUACAACAGUUACAGCAGAAGGAGAAAUGUGUAAGAAUUGGAUGCUCUUUGCAUUACAUGUCCUUGAGCAAAAGGAAGCCUGCUCGAGUACUUUUGGUUGCUGCUUUUGCAGUUGUAGAUGCCUGGAAUGCCAGUGACAGUGGGACAGCCAAUGCCAGGAGCAGUACCAAAUAUGCCUCAUGGUGCAUGCUCUGGAUGUUCUGCAUAUGCUGGUACUUACUCUGCUGCUGCUGACCCCGUGUUGACUUACUUCAGUGCUGUUGCUGGACAGAUAAGAUAAUAUAAACAGUAUAACUGUAUAAUCAGCUGUGAAUAACAACCCUAGUAAAGUUUUUUUUCAUGCUUUUUUUCUUCAGUAGAAAUAUUUUAGCUUAAUGUUCCCAGUGAUAAUCAUUCCUCUUCAGGUAAAAUGUACAGUUUUCAACAAUAAUUGUAAUUAUAGUUGACAGUAGAGUUUACAGUACUACAGACUUGAUAGACAUUUUACUGUUUAAUAACAUAAAAUUAAUCAAAAUACGUUGGCAGUUCACAUUCAGAUUCUCACUGCCAUCUUGAAAUAGUGUUUCUUCCUUAGGUUCGCUGUACCUUAUUAUACGUGUUAGUGCUAUAAUUCUGUAUGCAGAUAACACAAUCUUAAAAGCCAGUUGUGAAACUUUGGAGACUAGGAUUUUGUUUAACUUUGUUCUGUACUGCAUAUGGAACUUGGCUAGGAAAGUAUAAUGCAGACAUAUAACCUCCCAGGUUAGCGUCCCAAGGAACUGAAGUCUCCAGAAUGGUUGAUGCGUGUUUUGCAAGGUAUUUCUUCUGGCAUGAGGUUCUAAAUCUGACGUUUAUGUUCUUUGAGAUCACACAAUUUUUAGAGUGGAGGGCAGGCUUGUAAAUGUUAUGAGACUCAACCUAUUUUUUGUAGAUAUGAAUGGGAUGUGCUGGCUUUGAAAAGUUACAUGGUGUUUUUUUAAAAAGUAUUACAUACUGUAGAUAUUUUUAUAAUGUUGUUAAUAGAUAGUGAUAGGAGUUGUAUUCCAAGAGUCUGCGUUAACAUUCGUAUGACUUACAGAUGGUAAUAUGACCACUGCAAUGUUACGUGUUAAAAGGAGUAAUAGUCAGGGAAUUCAGUAGUUCAAUAUGGGGAAAAAGACCAAUGGAAGGUGGCAAGGAUUCACAGAGGUCAUGUGCGCAGCCCCACAGAUUAUGAGAUGGUUCUGGCUGCUGUGGUGCUGACAUGCACCUUAUUAAGAACAUAGAUCUGCAGAAGCAAUGUAUUGGAAGAUCUCCAGUUACAGGUGAGUGACCUUUUUUAGAUUAGAGUGGCUUCUUUUUUUCUCUUUAUAUUUUAAAUUGCAUAGGCUCUGGGCCUCAGUGCUUCUAUUUCUGCUUCACAUCCCUGGACUAGGUGAAUAACAAGAGGAGAUUUGAUUGGUAAAAGCAUCUAUUAAUUAUUUCAAAGUGGAAAUGCUAACAAUUUGGAUACCAAGUAUUGAAAACAAAGGUGUCAUAAUCUUAAUCAACUUGCUGAUUAUCUUCACAUGUAAAUUCUACAUUAGAAAAUGCUGUAACUUUCAUAGUGUUUUUGAAUACAUUUAGUGGAUGUUUAAUUACCUGGUUACCUGCUCACUGCCAUUGAUAUGCUUUAAGCAGAGAAUUCUGCUUACUGCUUCCAGUUUAGAUCAAGUGCUCUUCUCUUAUGGUGACUAUUUAACAAUAUAAGAACAUUUAAGGUAUCGUACAGGUAAUCUAAUGCAUUAAUAAUUACUGAUAUUUUUUGCAAGUUAAAUGUGAAUUGUUCAAUGGUGACAAAUGCGUGCAUUUGUUCUACAGGAUGGAGAAGCAGAUGCCGAAAAACUGCAGAGAUACCUAAUGCAGUCUGAAAUCAGCAGAACCUAUUAUUGUAAGAUACUGAGUGUUUUGCUAUGGCAGCCAGGCAGGUAUAGCUCAAUGUUAAGGAGAGGUUACCACCACUGCCUUGCCUUCUGAGGUGCAAAGUUGAGAAGACUGGGCUUUAAUGCCUGAUCUAAUUCUGUCACCCUUCAAAAAUUAAACGAUGAUGUUAAGGAGGCUACUACAAGGUAGUAAGUUAAUAUAUCAGUUGGUUCGGUAGUAGACAGACUGGAAAAAAAAAGGGGGGGGGGUAUUUUUAGUGUCAGGCUACUUGAAUGUUUUUUGUUUCUCUUUUAAAUUGGAUUUAAAAAAUGAAUUCAUGGUCACUGUCAUUGCUGAAACUAAUUAUUAAAAAUAAUACAAAUUACAAACUUCUAAUUCUUUUUUUAAAAUGACCUUUCAGCAUUCAGAUUAGAAAAUUGAAGAGUUAUUCAUGUAGGAGAUAUGCUUGUACAUAUUAGGACUUCAGUGGAAUCUUGGCAUCACUUUGAAGCUGUUGGUGAUUAUGAGAAAAUUGAAUUUUAAAUUCUCUUAAACUGAUAACUUUUAAUACUCAUUUUGUUUGAGCAUUUAUAAUGGGGUGUAAAUACUGAUUGUGGAGAUGCAUUAUUUGUGUAACUGCUUUAUUUGAUUUGCAUGUCUUGCACUUUGUAAUUUUACAGAGUAGCUUCAUUCAUGUUAAGCUGACCACUAGCAGUGUAAGCAUUAGAAAUCAGGGCUUCUAUUAAACUUUCACAGUUUCUGGAAAGGAAAAUUAAGAUAAAGGUAUGGUCAUCAUUCCUGAUGGUGUGUUUAACUUAAUGUUUUUAACUUAAUGCAUGCAACUGUAAUGAAAUCAUCAAAAUAUCUGUAAAAAUAAUUUAUCUUAGUAUUAACAUAUAAUUCAACUUGCAUCUUAAUAUUGAAAGCAUAAUUCUUUAGCUGAUAUUCACUGCUCUUCUAUUCUACUGCACAUUAUUAUUGUGAAUAGUCCUGCUUGUUAGUUAACUACUUUAUUGCUAUGUGAAGUUAUUGGUAGACUGUAGGUAGCAAGAUGUGAACUGUUCAGCUGACUGAAUAAUUUUUGGAAAUGCUCUAACUAAUACUGUGAAAUGAGAUUAAGGAAUCAGUUUUGUUGCUAAAAAUCCAAAAGCAGCCUUGACUAUCUCUUCAUACAAUUUUGUGAAUGCUUUUCAUCUAGUAGAUAAGUUAAUUCUAAUACUUAAACUUGUGGUUCCCUCCAUUUGUCAGGAUGGAAGUAGGCCAUUCCUUUUGAAUCUCACUGAUGGUUAGUGUAAUUGUACUUGUCGCUUCCAAAAUCUCCAAACACUGACUUGCCUAUUGCUGCUGCUUCUAGUUCUUGCAGUGCACCAUGGUAUUCUGGGUGCUGAACUGCUGGAGGAAAAGAGGACCACCAACCUGUCAGAAGGUCAUGUUUGGAAGAACUGCUGUAAAUGGAAGCUAUUAUAUAGUUUUUAACCUUUCUGCUUGACAAGACAAUGUGCUUUGAAUGAAUACUUAGAUUUUUAAGUGCAUGAUUCACAGCAAUAAAUAUUUUUUGCAUUUUACUAUAUUUAGAAGCAUGGCUUUUUUUAUCUGUACAUGUAUAAUUCCAGACAAGUAAAUUUCUCUGUUAAGUUCAAGAGCUUAGUGAAAAGGAAAAGCUUAUGGUCAUACAUAAUAGGCUGUGUCUUAUAAAUGGGUAGCUUGCUUACACAAAUAAAACAUGAGACACCCUAAA